rnacentral:sRNA from 1 species
CUGGAGAGGCUGUAGGGAAGUAAUCGGGAUCAGAUGAGGUCUCAGGAAUGGGGUCUCCUAGGACGACCUCAGGGGAAAAGCUUACCGUAGCUCCCUUCCCAUGUUAGUGUGUAGCACAAGGCCCCUGGCAGGCGCCAGAGCCAUGCCUCCAACAGCUGUGGGCUGAACACAUUACCAUUACUAUUUCGUUCUUUGUCACUCACUUAGUCUCGGGAUUUUUGUUAUGAAAAAAGAAAAAUGGACUAAGGUACACGUUCACCAAUUGAAAGGAAUAAAAUGAAGCCAAAUCCCAGCCAAAUCCUUCACUGCACCAGGACAGCUCUGGAUUGUGCAACCCAGUAAGAAGAAGACUAACCACACUUUUAGAAUGAACGUUAAUUUAUCUCUCCCUGUGCUCACAGCCUGACCAGAUGACAUUGUACAGCAGAAGCAUCUGACAUUUCUGAAUAGGUUUCCUCCUGGUGGUCUGGGUGCAUUCUUCCCACUGUCUCCCAGCAGCAAGCGCAUCCGACGUGCUCGAGGGUAGAUUAUGACUUCUCUUCAACUGGCUCCUAGGGCCAAAGGUAGGGUUAGAAAGAGACCGCUUUGCAGACAUUGGUGCCCUCUACUGGUCACGCCAAGAUAUGCAGCUUCAAGGGAGACUGGCGCAGGCAAAUCAAAAUCAACUCAUAACACAGAAGUGGAAGUUACGUGCCAUUACUUCUAAGUGGUCUCACCUUGGGCAAAUGAUACAGUUCCUCAGCUUCAGGUGUUGACCGGAACCAGGAACCAGGGCUCAGUUAACUCACCAGAUGGAUCGUGGCAGGUCAGAUGAGUCUCUGUGGUUCUCUCGGGCUCCCACCCAUCACAGGCUCGCAGCCACCUGAUGUUAGCCCCUGCUCCCAACACCAUGUCCAGUCCACACAAGACUGUGUUCAAAGUUCGAGACCUUAGACAUCCCGCAUAGGUGCGUGGAAAAUCGUGUGACGGAAUGCAGAUCUGGACCGAGGCAGCCAGCUUCCACAUCUAUGAAAAGCCACCAAUCCCUUCACCGCCCUGGAGGCAGCCCACAGGGGCCUUCACCCCAUCACCCAUCUGCGUCUUCCCGGUGCCGGUACAGACCUGAGACGGUGAGCGCUUCGCUAAGGAUCUGGUAAACUUACGAAGACAACUUUCUGCUUCCUGGUCAUCCACUGGUCACUUCAAAACAUUGCUUCAGAGUCCUGCAGAGCUUCAAACUGUGGGCGAAUUUCAUUCUCUGAGGGCUACAGUUCCCAUCCAUUACCCCUGCAUGCAUCGUCUGUGAUGAACACUCAGUUCUUGGGAAACCAUCAUAUUCAUGGUUGGUGGAUACAGAUUCUCCAAAAUUCUAAUGUUCACCUGAGAGAGCAAAUGUUUUAAGCACUGGCCACCAAUGCUGUCCUUUUCCUCUGGAGGAGACAUACUCCCUUUAUUGUCUCUAAAGAAAAUGUCUACUGCAUACUCGAGUCUGAAUAGUGUCAGCUGCGUUCUCGGUGAGAUGGCCGGCCACACAGGAAGGAGCUGCCUUAACACAGAAGCUGCUCUCACACUUUUUUUCCCCUCGGCAUAACCGUCCUGGAAACACAAUAAAAUACUUAAUGUGUGCAUCCAGUUUUUGUUAUAGAGGGUCUUAAAAGGUUGUACACUAAAGAUGUAAGAUCAAAUACACUUUCAGAGCUCAUGAAGAACCU